ACGGCAGUAGCUCAAUAGGCAGAGCAGCGGUCUCCAAAACCGCCGGUUGCAGGUUCGAGUCCUGCCUGCCGUG
rnacentral:tRNA from 1 species